CGGUCCUAAGGUAGCGAAAUUCCUUGUCGGGUAAGUUCCGACCUGCACGAAUGGCAUAAUGAUGGCCAGGCUGUCUCCACCCGAGACUCAGUGAAAUUGAAAUCGCCGUGAAGAUGCGGUGUACCCGCGGCUAGACGGAAAGACCCCGUGAACCUUUACUAUAGCUUGACACUGAACAUUGAAUUUUGAUGUGUAGGAUAGGUGGGAGACUUUGAAGAUGAUACGCCAGUAUUGUUGGAGUCGUCCUUGAAAUACCACCCUUUAACGUUUGAUGUUCUAACGAAGAUUACGAAACGUGGUCUCGGACAGUGUCUGGUGGGUAGUUUGACUGGGGCGGUCUCCUCCCAAAGAGUAACGGAGGAGCACGAAGGUUUGCUAAUGACGGUCGGACAUCGUCAGGUUAGUGCAAUGGUAUAAGCAAGCUUAACUGCGAGACAGACAAGUCGAGCAGGUACGAAAGUAGGUCAUAGUGAUCCGGUGGUUCUGAAUGGAAGGGCCAUCGCUCAACGGAUAAAAGGUACUCCGGGGAUAACAGGCUGAUACCGCCCAAGAGUUCAUAUCGACGGCGGUGUUUGGCACCUCGAUGUCGGCUCAUCACAUCCUGGGGCUGAAGUAGGUCCCAAGGGUAUGGCUGUUCGCCAUUUAAAGUGGUACGCGAGCUGGGUUUAGAACGUCGUGAGACAGUUCGGUCCCUAUCUGCCGUGGGCGUUGGAGAAUUGAAAGGGGCUGCUCCUAGUACGAGAGGACCGGAGUGGACGCACCACUGGUGUUCCGGUUGUGUCGCCAGACGCAUUGCCGGGUAGCUAAGUGCGGAAGAGAUAAGUGCUGAAAGCAUCUAAGCACGAAACUUGCCAAGAGAUGAGUUCUCCCAGAUUUAAAAUCUGUAAGGGUUGUUUAAGACUAAGACGUAGAUAGGUCUGGUGUGUAAGCGGUGCGAGCCGUUGAGCUAACAGAUACUAAUUGCCCGAGAGGCUUAACUAU
rnacentral:rRNA from 1 species